rnacentral:tRNA from 1 species
UCCCUGGUAGCUCACUUGGUAAAGAAACUGCCUGCAGUACAGGAGACCCAGGUUUGAUUCCUGGUCAGGAAG